UGAGGCAGGUCUGUAGUUCAGUGGUAGAGCUUAUGUUUUACAUGCAAAAGGUCCAGGUUCAUCCCUGGUGUUUCCA